AUCAGUUUGAAGAACAAUUCGAGCUGACGAGAGAAGACUCAGCCAGAGGAACGCUGAUGAUUCACAGAGCAAACCUGUCGCACUCGGCUGUGUAUUACUGCGCUGCAAGUACACAGUGAUGUGGUUUAAUGCCACUCCCUCACUAAAAACCCUCACCAUCCUGUGAAUGAGACAUUUGCAGUUGAGGCGCUCUCUCUUGAUACAUCGUUGGAGGAGGCUGUGUCCCUUCUGCAACAGCACAAACUUGAAAAUGUCUCCAGCUGUGAUAGCAUUUCUGCUUAUCUUGCUUCCAUAUCGAGCCAAGAGUGUGACAUUUCAGCCAUCUCUUCCCAGAAUAGUCGAGGACAAGGCCAGAGUAGAAAUUACAUGCAUUCAUGAUGAUAACACCCUCUAUGUAAUGCUCUGGUACCAGCAAAAAGAGAGAGGUUUGAUGAGCUUGAUUGGAUUCAGCAGUUCUGGCAGUGAGCCUAACUAUGAGAAACAUUUUAAAGGUUGGUUUAAGAUUACAAGAAAUGACACCCAAACAGGAGCUCUGAUUAUUCAGAGUGUGAAUCUAUCAGACACGGCUGUGUAUUACUGCGCUGCCAGUACACAGUGAUGUGGCUUAAUGCCACUCCCUCACUAAAAACCCUCACCAUCCUGUGAAUGAGACAUUUGCAGUUGAGGCAGUGUCUCUCUUUACACUGACUCUCACUGGUGGAAGCUGUGUUUCUCCUGCAGCAGAGCAAACCUGGAGGAUGUCUCCAGUUGUGAUCGGAUUUCUGCUCUUCUUGUUGCCAUAUAGAGGCCGAGCUAAGAGUGUGACGUUUCAGCAGUCUCCUCCAAAAAUAGUCAACGAAAAGACCAGAGUGGACUUUAAAUGCAGUCAUGAUGACAAUAAUCUUGAUGUAAUGCUCUGGUACCAGCAAACAGAGAGUGGUCUGGUGAAUUUAAUUGGAUACAGCUACAUUAACAAUGAACCCACAUAUGAGAAAGAGUUUAAAGAUCGGUUUGAGAUUACAAGAAAAGACAUCCAAACAGGAGCUCUGAUUAUUCAGAGUGUGAAUCUAUCAGACAUGGCUCUGUAUUACUGCGCUGGCAGUACACAGUGAUGUGGUUUAAUGCCACUCCCUCACUAAAAACCCUCACCUUCCUGUGAAUGAGACAUUUGCAGAUGAGGCAGUGUCUCUCUUUACACUGACUCUCACUGGUGGAAGCUGUGUUUCUCCUGCAGCAGAGCAAACCUGGAGGAUGUCUCCAGUUGUGAUCGGAUUUCUUCUCCUCUUGUUGCCAUAUCGAGGCCGAGCUAAGAGUGUGACGUUUCAGCCGUCUCCUCCAAAAAUAGUCACUAAAAAUACUGAAGUGGACUUUAAAUGCAGUCACAAUGAUAGCAGCCUUAAUGUAAUGCUCUGGUACCAGCAAACAGAGAGCGGUCUGAUGAAUUUAAUUGGAUACGGCUACCCUGGCACUGACCCCACAUAUGAGAAACAGUUUGAAGAUCGGUUUAAGAUUACAAGAAAAGACAUCCAAGCAGGAGGUCUGACUAUUCAGAGUGUGAAUCUGUCAGACUCAGCUGUGUAUUACUGCGCUGCCAGUACA